CAGAUGAGGAAACGGAAACUCAGAGGUGUGAGUUGACUUGCCUCGGGCCCCAGUUGGCAGAGACAAGACUGGAAGGGAAGUCUGACGCGAUCCCAUCCAGGACGCCAAGGACUUGGGGCUAUCUAUAGUCGUAGGCACACUAUGUUGCUGGUGCUUUUUAAAUGGGAAAUGUCGGGAGAGGUAUGCCUUGUGAAUGUUCAAUAACAAGUGAGUUAAGUUGGGUGACUAAGCCUAUUGCAGAGUCUGAACAUGAGAUGAAACCUGUAUGUGGGUAACAGUGGGACUGAAGAGGAAGCAACUGGCACUUUCAAGUGUUGAGUCAAGAUGUCCUAUGAGCAAGAUUUGGAGCACAGUGAAAGAGACAUCUUCCAAAGGAACAGAGUAGAGAUUGUUCCUGAAGGGUUUGAACAGCAUAAGCCUGAGGCAGAAAACAUAUGCUAUUGAAAAAUGGAUGUCUUUCUUUUGGAACUAAUGCUGGUGUUGGAUUUAUUCCCUCUUAUGAUUUACCUACCACCUGAAGGGAAAUUACCUUUUAUGAUGGUCGGAGGGGCACCUAGCUGUCUCAGCCUGCAGAGCAUGUGACUCUAAAUCUCAGGGUCGUGAGUUCAAGCCUCACAUUGGGCAUGGAGCCUACUUAAAAAAAAAAAAAAAAAGAAA